rnacentral:rRNA from 1 species
AGGACGAACGCUGGCGGCGUGCCUAACACAUGCAAGUCGAACGGAGUUUUACGCUGAAAUUGAGAUUAGCUUGCUAAAGGAUAUUCUUGUAACACUUAGUGGCGGACGGGUGAGUAACGCGUGAGGAACCUGCCUUACAGAGGGGACAACAGUUGGAAACGACUGCUAAUACCGCAUAACAUAGCGAGAGGACAUCCUCUUGUUAUCAAAGGAGCAAUCCGCUGUAAGAUGGCCUCGCGUCCGAUUAGAUAGUUGGUGAGGUAACGGCCCACCAAGUCUACGAUCGGUAGCCGGACUGAGAGGUUGAACGGCCACAUUGGGACUGAGACACGGCCCAGACUCCUACGGGAGGCAGCAGUGGGGGAUAUUGCACAAUGGAGGAAACUCUGAUGCAGCAACGCCGCGUGAGGGAAGAAGGUUUUCGGAUUGUAAACCUCUGUUUUUGGUGAAGAAACAAAUGACGGUAGCCAAAGAGGAAGCCACGGCUAACUACGUGCCAGCCGCCGC